AGUUUCGUAGUGUUGUGGACUGGUUAUCACGUCUGCUUCACACGCAGAAGGUCCCCGGUUCGAUCCCGGGCGAAACCA